rnacentral:rRNA from 1 species
AGUGGGGAAUAUUGCACAAUGAGGGAAACCUUGAUGCAGCCAUGCCGCGUGUGUGAAGAAGGACCGAGGGUUGUAAAGCACUUUCUAUUGGGAGGAAGAGUCAGUAGCUAAUAUCUGCUUACUUUGACGUUAACUUUACAAGAAGCACCUGGCUAACUCUGUGCCAGCAGCCGCUGGUAAUACAGAGGGUGCAAGCGUUAUUCGGAAUUACUGGGCGUAAAGCGCGCGAAGGCGGACUGUUAAGCCGGAUGCGAAAGCCCUGGGCUCAACCUAGGAACUGCAUCCGAUACUGGAAAUCUAGAGUUUAAGAGAGGGAAGUGGAAUUCCAGGUGUAGCAGUGAAAUGCGUAGAUAUCUGGAGGAACAUCAGUGGCGAAGGCGACUUCUUGGCUUAAAACUGACGCUGAGGUGCGAAAGCUUGGGUAGCGAACGGGAUUAGAUACCCCGGUAGUCCAAGCCGUAAACGAUGUCAACUAGCUGUUGGUCUUAUUAAAAAGAUUAGUAGCGUAUCUAACGCGAUAAGUUGACCGCCUGGGGAGUACGGUCGCAAGAUUAAAACUCAAAGGAAUUGACGGGGGCCCGCACAAGCGGUGGAGCAUGUGGUUUAAUUCGAUGCAACGCGAAGAACCUUACCAUCCCUUGACAUCCUGCGAACUUUCUAGAGAUAGAUUGGUGCCUUCGGGAACGCAGUGACAGGUGCUGCAUGGCUGUCGUCAGCUCGUGUCGUGAGAUGUUGGGUUAAGUCCCGCAACGAGCGCAACCCUUAUCAUUAGAUGCUAACAUUUAGUUGAGAACUCUAAUGAGACUGCCGGUGAUAAACCGGAGGAAGGAGGGGGCGACGUCAAGUCAUCAUGGCCCUUAUGGGAUGGGCUACACACGUGCUACAAUGGGGGGUACAAAGAGCAGCCAACUGGCGACAGUGCGCGAAUCUCAUAAAACCUCUCGUAGUCCAGAUCGGAGUCUGAAACUCGACUCCGUGAAGUCGGAAUCGCUAGUAAU